AAAGGGGGGGGCUGCUUACGCUAAUCAUGAAGUCGAACGGUGAAGCCCGCAAGCUGGGUGGAUUAGUGGGCGGCGGGUGAGUCACACGUGAGUAACCGGCCCUUAACUCUGGGAUAAGCCGGGGAAGCGGGGUCUAAUACCGGAUAGGAGCGUCCACCGCAGGGUGGGUGUUGGAAAGAUUUAUCGGUUUUGGAUGGACUCGCGGCCUAUCAGCUGGUUGGUGAGGUAAGGGCUCACCAAGGCGACGACGGGUAGCCGGCCUGAGAGGGUGACCGGCCACACUGGGACUGAGACACGGCCCAGACUCCUACGGGAGGCAGCAGUGGGGAAUAUUGCACAAUGGGCGAAAGCCUGAUGCAGCGACGCCGCGUGAGGGAUGACGGCCUUCGGGUUGUAAACCUCUUUCAGUAGGGAAGAAGCGAAAGUGACGGUACCUGCAGAAGAAGCACCGGCUAACUACGUGCCAGCAGCCGCGGUAAUACGUAGGGUGCGAGCGUUAUCCGGAAUUAUUGGGCGUAAAGAGCUCGUAGGCGGUUUGUCGCGUCUGUCGUGAAAGUCCGGGGCUUAACCCCGGAUCUGCGGUGGGUACGGGCAGACUAGAGUGCAGUAGGGGAGACUGGAAUUCCUGGUGUAGCGGUGGAAUGCGCAGAUAUCAGGAGGAACACCGAUGGCGAAGGCAGGUCUCUGGGCUGUAACUGACGCUGAGGAGCGAAAGCAUGGGGAGCGAACAGGAUUAGAUACCCUGGUAGUCCAUGCCGUAAACGUUGGGCACUAGGUGUGGGGACCAUUCCACGGUUUCCGCGCCGCAGCUAACGCAUUAAGUGCCCCGCCUGGGGAGUACGGCCGCAAGGCUAAAACUCAAAGGAAUUGACGGGGGCCCGCACAAGCGGCGGAGCAUGCGGAUUAAUUCGAUGCAACGCGAAGAACCUUACCAAGGCUUGACAUGUUCUCGAUCGCCGUAGAGAUACGGUUUCCCCUUUGGGGCGGGUUCACAGGUGGUGCAUGGUUGUCGUCAGUUCGUGUCGUGAGAUGUUGGGUUAAUUCCCGCACUGAUCCUAACCUCAGU
rnacentral:rRNA from 1 species